AUUGAACGCUGGCGGUAUGCUUAACACAUGCAAGUCGAACGGCAGCACGGUCUGUAGUAAUACAGAUGGGUGGCGAGUGGCGGACGGGUGAGUAAUACGCAGGAAUCUGCCCUAUAGAGGGGGAUAACUCGAGGAAACUCGAGCUAAUACCGCAUAGUCUCUACGGAGUAAAGCUGGGGCAACCUGGCGCUAUAGGAGGAGCCUGCGUCUGAUUAGCUAGUUGGUGGGGUAAAGGCCUACCAAGGCGACGAUCAGUAGGGGGUCUGAGGGGAUGGACACCAACGCUGGGACUGAGACACGGCCCAGACUCCCACGGGAGGCAGCAGUGGGGAAUAUUGGACAAUGGGGGCAACCCUGAUCCAGGAAUACCGCGUGUGUGAGGAAGGCCUUAGGGUUGUAAGCACUUUAGGCGGGGAAGAAGGUAUGUAUUUUAAGAGAUAACAUAUUUGACGGUACCCGCAGAAUAAGCACCGGCUAACUCUGUGCCAGCAGCCGCCGUAA
rnacentral:rRNA from 1 species